AUGACAUUUCUUUAUUUAGCUAAAGUAUUAAAACAAAAAGUCCCUGCUCCUAUAUAUCAUGACUUGUGAGAAUAGUGAUCCAACUAAGCUUUGCUGGAGAUGAAUUCCACUUCAUUUCUUAAUCCCAUUUGUUGUGGAAGAGGUGGGAUGCUUUGUUCGUGUCUGAAGAAAUUAUCAGGAUCAACUUUGGUCUUCACAUGCACCAACCUGUAGAAGUUAUCCUUGAAGUAGUUGGUACCAAAAGCACUCGCUUCGACAAAACUUGUUUUAGAAUUUCUGUUCAUGCCCAAAUCAAGAUCCCUGUAAUUAGCAUAUGCUUCCCUAGGAUUCUUUGAGACAUAAGGUGUCAUGUAACUGUAAACCUUCCUAGUCCAAUUUAUAUGCUUUGCAACGUUUUCCGUUGCAUCUUGCCAACUGGACCAGUAAAGGAUCAUGAACUUGGUACCGUUUCUAUGAGGGAAAGGAGUCUGAGAUUCUGAAAUUUGGUUCAUCAUCCCACCAUAAGGAGUAAACACUACUAGAGGACUCUCUGCUUCAAAUAACUUCUCCCACAACCCUUCAAGUGCCUUUUCAGGUAUGGGUUUUCUGGCAUAGUCAGAUUUGCCUUUGAAGUAGGCCCUGUCCAUGUUAAUUCUUUGAAGGAAAACUUCAGGAGNNNNNNNNNNNNNNNNNNNNNNNNNNNNNNNNNNNNNNNNNNNNNNNNNNNNNNNNNNNNNNNNNNNNNNNNNNNNNNNNNNNNNNNNNNNNNNNNNNNNNNNNNNNNNNNNNNNNNNNNNNNNNNNNNNNNNNNNNNNNNNNNNNNNNNNNNNNNNNNNNNNNNNNNNNNNNNNNNNNNNNNNNNNNNNNNNNNNNNNNNNNNNNNNNNNNNNNNNNNNNNNNNNNNNNNNNNNNNNNNNNNNNNNNNNNNNNNNNNNNNNNNNNNNNNNNNNNNNNNNNNNNNNNNNNNNNGUAAUAGCUAGUUGAAUAAAAUUAUUAAUAUUAAAAAAUAAAUUUAAAAUAAUAUUUAAAUAUGCACACUGACCAACUAAACUAUUUGCAUGCAAAUUUGUUGUCAUAUGAAAUAAAUAAAUAUAUCAUGUGGAAUAAAUAAAUAUACUAACCUGCUUCAAUUUAUUAUAAUUUUAGAGUUUUAAUGAUGGAGAAAUAUAUCAUAUUAUAUAGUCCAAGAUUCAACGGAUCAUCUAAUAUAUAUAUAUAUACCAGAUUUGAACCUCCAACAUUUAAAUUUUUUGCUUUUCUCAGAAAUUCUGUAGGAAAGUUCGCCAUUCGUGGCUCCCGCCUGAACCCACGCGCUGUUGUGCUCAAUCAACGCUGAUAGACCGUAGCUUUGCAAGGUCUACAACAAUGAAAGAUGUCUCAAUUUCUGAUACAUAAGAGAGUCCCUCAUAAUCAUGGCCUCCGCUACGGACUCUAAUGUGAAUUCCAAGCUGCUUAGAGCAAAUAACAACAGCUUGGAUGUGAGAUUCUUGUAAAGGAGUGAAGAUAAACUCGGGUUUCGGUACUGGAGGCAAGGUGAACCUGAGGUUUUGAGCAGAAGAUUGUAAGACACUAGUGAAAGAAGAGUUUUGUGGAGCAUACAAGACAGUGGAAAAAGGAAAGGAGUAGGACCACAAGUAUUGAAAGUAUGGAAGAUCUUGAAGGCACCAUUUUUCCUGCUUUCUUGCCUCUCUGGCUUGCCUUUAAGAAUUGAUGUCUCAAGGAGUUCUUUUAUAGAGGAGCUAUGAACAAUCAACAGGAAAUUAAAUUAUUUUGUAGCUCGUUUUGUGCAGUGAGAUAUUUACUUGUGAUAUUACAAUGGGAUUAUAUAAAUUUGAAUGAUUCAUAUUCCAUGCAAUAUAGUCAAACUUUUAGACUUUAAAUGUUUAAUUAAUUAAACACAUCUUCCAAUCAUAUUAUACAUAUCAUUAUAGCUAAAGUGAAUAAAUCAAAAAAUUGAGGAUUGAUUUGGAAAUUAACAUAUUUUGGCAUCAUUUUCUUUAAAAUGAAACGACGUGUUUUGUUCAAAACGACACACUUUCAUGUACUGUUUUGAACGACAUUGUAUAUCUUUUUCUUCCCUGACGUGCAAAGGCAAGGGAAGAAGGUUUUUCUUCCCCUCCUUUGCAGCACCCAUAUUCCCUCUUUCUCCCUCUCCCCACUUGUCCAAACCCUGACACAACUCACACCCCUCACCUGCCACCAUGAUGAAGAUUGGACAAGGAAGCGAUACUCUGCAGCUGAGGCGACUGCACAGAGGCCACCCCAGCCACCCUACCUUGUCUCCAUGAUUCGACAAAGGUAGGGUAGCUCCCGCUUCCCCUAUCAUAUAAAUACCCCACUCAACAAGCCGAGAGCAGGGGGGAAAGAAAAACGGGGGAAACAGAAAAGAGAGACGAAAGAGAGAGAAGGAGGGAAGAAAAAGAACAAAACAAACCAAAGGAAAAAAAAUAGAGAAACAGAGACAGAGAGGAGAGAAACAGAGGGAUUGGGAAGGAACAAGAAGCAAAGGAAAAGGAAAGACAGAAAAAGGGUGGAGAAAUAAAGAAAAAAAAACCGAGGGAAGAAGAAACACACAAAAACAAAGGAAAAAAAGAAGAAGAAUCGUCGUUUGGAACAACCAUCCACCACGACAUCAUCGUCACCGAGAGCCACCAGCACCGUCAAUGCCGUCAGUAGGUCAGCCCCCCUCUUCUCCUUCUUCUUCUGCUCAUUUUCUCGUGUCUACUGCCUUGUAGAGCGAACAGUGAAGAGUUGCUCCACUGUUAACUAGGUCGAACAACGCCGAUCCAGAUCAAAAUGGAUGGGCCGGGUCCUGCCCAAUCCGAAAGGAAAAAAAACAUCUGGUGGGCCAAAUCGAGCCAACCCCAAUACCUUGGGCCGAACUCAGCGUAAUUUAUUCUGGGCUGAUUUCGGCCCAGUCAGGAUGGGCUCAGCCAAAUGUAAUUGGGCUAAGCCAAUCCCAAUAUAUUGGUAUAAUAAUGUUAUAUAAUAUAAUAUUAUAUAUUAAAAAAAAGUUUUUUUUAAAAAAAUUCUAAAUCCUUUGAAAAACUUCUUUGGGAUUUUCUCACAAGUUUUUUUUUAUCAUUUUGGGUUCAUAUCGAUUUGUAUUUGUAUACUGUAAAGAUAUAGAUCUGAUAAUAAAAUAUCUGGUUUUGUUUGAAAUAUUGCAAAAAAAUUAUAUCAAAAACAAAAAAAAAUAUUUUUUUUCAUGCAUACGGCCAACUCUGUCAAAAAAUAAAAAAACAUCAUAUUGUACUUUCAUACAACAAAAACAAUUACAGAAAAUGUUUAGCAUGUAUUUUGGCUUUAAUAACCAGUUUAUUAAAGUCAUGAGAAGUAAGCCAACAUUUUAAAAAUACCCAAAAAAUAUUUUUAUUUUUUUAGUAACUGGGAUUCUGAAUUUAUAUGUAAAACGUAUUCCCGAUGUUAAAAUGUAUUUUUUUAUAGACAUUAGAACGGUUAGGUUCUUACCUAAUAAGAUAAGGACCUCUUUACCGAGCAGGACUUUUCUUAACUCAUAGACAGACCAAUAAUUAGAAAACACAACAAGACCUUAGUUUUUUUUAUUAAACGAUAAACAAUGCAGCUUACCUUAGGUAGGGCUUAUUAGGGGUGCUAAUACAUUCCCUUUAUGCAACCAGUCUUCAUGCCCGAUCCCUGAGACCAGUUAGGGUUUCUGAUGAUCAAAAUACUAGGUGGCGACUCUCAUUUCCCUUUUUCAUGGAUGAAAGACAAGAAAUCCUUGUCUACUCUAUUUUUCAAUUUCCAAAUACUUAAAAGAGUGGACGAUUGUUGCGAUGCCGCACACGUGUGACAGACCACAUGGACCACCAAGGGUUAACAAUAACUGCUCAUACAAUCACCUAAGUUGAGUCGUCAUGUACCAAAGUUAAGCCAUCUCAGAACUAAGCUGGGAUGUCUGAGCCUUAACUUAUUCUCGUACAAUCGCCUAGAUGACUAAAGAUUGGGGGCGUAAACCCAAUUACGAGGAACAAAAGGUCGAUACACUAGGACUCAUCUGUAUAUCCUUAAUCAUAGUGUUAGAGAUACCAUAAAUUCAAUUUAUAUCGAGUCCACCAGACGAUCCAGCGUCCAACCACAAAUCCAAAUCGAGUUUUGGAUGGGUCGAAGGAUCAUCCUUGUAUCUCUCCUGCAAACGGGUAUUAUAUGUUUCCUGAAAAAAGAAAAAAAACAAUCAACAAAUUAAAAAAAUAAUAACAUAAUAAAAAAAAUUGUUAAAAUUCAAUUUACCAUGAACUUUUGAGCUUGGCUAUCCACAAGCUAUUAUACCCCUUUCCAUCAGUUGUCAUUUUGCAUGUGAGUUUUAACAAAAAGAUUUAUCGGUCUUGGAUCAUGUCCAAGAACUGUAACCUGCAAAAGAGAGUUACUGUUUGUUAAACAUUAAAUAUUUUAUAUAAAACAACAAUCUAAAAAAAAUAUACAUAAUAAAACAAUAUCUUACCAUCCUCUUUACAAGCGAAAUGAACAAAAUGAAUUUAGUAAGAGUUUAGACACAUGUCAAUUAACUAGUAUUCUAGGCCAAAGGGUUUCAUCAUGGAUUUAGCAGUAUAUAAGUUCGCUUUCAGCCUAUUCCCUUUAGAUAAAAUGCUUCUUGUUCAUUCGAUCAUUUUGUCGUAACCGCCCUAGCUCAACCCAUGAUCUAACUUAAUGGUGAACACCUGUGCAACAAUCGAUAAUUUACUAUGAUUUGUGGAACCAUACCAUAAUGGUUCGUCAAAAUCUUUCAAUUAGUUCUUCAUCUACAAUUGAACAUUCACAUGCAUUACCCUAAUUCAUUCUCAUUGCAUCCAUAAUCAUACUCCUAUAACGAUUAUUAUUAUCAUUUACAAUUCCAUUAUUGCUAGAACUAAAAGUCGACCCAAGCAUCCUUUAUACCAUGAUCUUGUACAGAACAUAUGAUUCUACAUGUGCAAACCAACACAAGUACUUCUUUAAGCACUUUUUUUUUCUAGAAGAUGUAUCGUAAUAACAUCUAGAUCGAGAAACUUUUAUUUUUACACCUUUUACAUGGAAAUUUAAUACCGCAUCCACUAAUAUUUUUGGAUUAGAUAGUGUGUAUUUAAUAAAACGCUUAACCCCAUUAUAAUAAUUUAUUUCGCGCAACCUUUAAGGUGAAACUCGAUACAUCCAAGGACGAUCGACAAUUACAUAUAUGAAACCUAUAUAGAAUAUUAAUGACAACAUGUAUUAAUUAAUAAUGUGAACUAAAGAAAUUAUCGAUGCCCAACUAAUUAACUAUCAUUAGUUUAACUCAAAUUUAUUCACUCUAUUUUAACAGUACCCUUAAAUCAUUAUUAAUUUUCUACAAAAGCUCAAAUUCCUUCAAAUUUGUUGAGAUUUUCAAUUUAACAAAAAAUUGAUAAAAUAUGAAAUGUACCUAUUAAAUAAGCCAUUAUUUAUGUCAUCAUGUAAUUUUUUAUUCUUUCUUUAUUUUUGUGUAGUAAAAAACUAAAUGAAAUUAUGGAAAAAAUAAAAUGAAAGAAGAAUAAAUUGAAAUUUGGUUCAAGACAACACAAAUUAAAAGCUUUGAGUAUUAAUGAGGGUGAAAUUAUAAAUCUAGGAGUUAAUUUUGGUAGAAAUUCAAAGAAUUAAUAAGUUUAGAGACUUAAUUGAACUUUGAAUAGUUUAAUUAAUGAAAUCAGGGGCUUAAUUGAAGAAAUACCAAUGUUUGGGGGCUGAUUUGGGUCAAAAUUGCAAGAAUUGAAGUCCAAGGACCAAAGUGAAAAUUCAGGGGUACAAUAGGUAGUUUAAUUGAUUUUUUCAAGGGUAAUUUUGAAAGAAUUAAAAGUUAAAGAGUCAAUUAAGAACUGAAUUAGAAACUAAGGACUCUUUUGUAAAUAGCGUUGGAAUGCAAGGGUCCAAUUGCAAUUAAUCCAGGAGCAAAAAAAAAAAUAUAAUGAAGAAGAAAUUUCCUUAAAUAAGGGCCUGAUUGAAAGAUAUCAGAACUUCAGUGUCCAAAUUGAAGAAUGACCAACUCAGUCGAAAACAAUAUUGUUUCUACAUGUACUGUUUCUUCUUCUUGUUCCUCUGGAACUGAAAAUCCGCCUACGAAAAAGGGAAAGAAGAGUGAAAUGAUGGUGUCCCCAUCCUACCCAACACCACAGCCAAGGUCACCCCAUAUGGCUGGGCUAGAUCCAACCAAAAAAUGACAGAUAUUUGUUGUUUCUAUCAUAGAAAAUUAAAGGCCACCAUGAUGUCUCUGUGUGACAAUUUAUUUUAUUAUAAAACACAUAAGUUACAAAAUCAAACUCAUUUUCAUCAAAUGACAAACAAAUAUAAUUUUUUAAAAUUUCAAACAAACCAUAACAUGCACAAAUCAUAUAAUAAAUUUAUAUGGAAAAACGCUAUAAAACAAGUAAACACACAAACGAAUUACAUAUACUACAUCAAAAUGCAAAAAAAAAAAAUCAAUAUUUUGAAAAUGGAUUACAAAAAAAAAAAAAAGGUAGUUUUGUUACUUGAUGUGGUGAAUAUUCAAAAAACAUUGAACCAGAAUAGGGUUACUGACAAACUUAGUGUUGGGGUGACUAGAUUCAUAAUGAUGAUAGCUUGAUUUGUGACAAAAUAUGUGGGUAUUGUGUGUUGUUUUCUACAAAAUGAAAAGGAAGAAGAAGAAAUUAGGGAGGAGGAGAGGAGGGUUGUCUAUCAAGAUAUAACAUAAAUAUUAUCGACAGACGACGAGUAUUAAUAAAGAGUAUAUUUUCUCGGUAAUUCCAUUUGUAAUAAUGGCACUUUAUUUUUUUCAUUCAUUCAUUUCUUACUGUAUUUUUCUUAGUAUUCACCGAUGAAAAAUUUAUAUCAGUAUAUACUGAGAGAAAUAGCGAGGAAAUAUUCCGUUAAUAAAAGUCAUUGUGAUUUAUUGACGAGUUUUUUUUUUUAGUAUUUCUAUUUAUAUUUGACAAUUUUCUAAUUGUGAUAUAUAUUGGACAAUGAACCGUGAAUCGCUGUCUCUCUUCUAAUUUAAUUUUAAUUUUGUAAGUUUGAUGAAAACAGUGGCAAAACCGCCAAACCUCAAGAAUGGUGUUUCCUUGUGAUCAUUUUUAUUUUAAACAUUUUUCAACAUUCUUCCUCAACAAAUUGGACUAUUUAAUGCAAAGCUUUUAUUUAUAAUAAAAAAACCGCAAGACAGCAUAAUUGCACAGCAUGACAUUUCUUUAUUUAGCUAAAGUAUUAAAACAAAAGGUCCCUGCUCCUAUCAUGACUUGUGAGAAUAGUGAUCCAACUAAGCUUUGCUGGAGAUGAAUUCCACUUCAUUUCUUAAUCCCAUUUGUUGUGGAAGAGGUGGGAUGCUUUGUUCGUGUCUGAAGAAAUUAUCAGGAUCAACUUUGGUCUUCACAUGCACCAACCUGUUGAAGUUAUCCUUGAAGUAGUUGGUACCAAAAGCACUCGCUUCGACAAAACUUGUUUUAGAAUUUCUGUUCAUGCCCAAAU
rnacentral:lncRNA from 1 species